GACGAACGCUGGCGGCGCGCUUAACACAUGCAAGUCGAACGGAAAGGCCUGCUUUCCCUUGUGGAUUGCGGGUACUCGAGUGGCGAACGGGUGAGUAACACGUGAGUGAUCUGCCCCCAACUUGGGUAUAAGCCUGGGAAACUGGGUCUAAUUCCCGAUAGGACUGCAGGGUGGUGCCUGUGGUGGAAAACGAUUUUCUAGUGGUUGGGGAUGAGCUCGCGGCCUAUCAGCUUGUUGGUGGGGUAAUGGCCUACCAAGGCGGCGACGGGUAGCCGGCCUGAGAGGGUGGACAGGCACAUUGGGACUGGGAUACGGCCCAGACGGCUACCGGAGGCAGCAGUGGGGAAUAUUGCACAAUGGGCGGAAGCCUGAUGCAGCGACGCCGCGUGGGGGAUGACGGCCUUCGGGUUGUAAACUCCUUUCGACCGCGAGGAAGCCACCUGGUUGGAAGGGUGGUGACGGUAGUGGUAGAAGAAGCACCGGCUAACUACGUG
rnacentral:rRNA from 1 species